GCCUUCGUGGUGUAAUGGUCAGCACACUGAGCCGGUAAUUCAGAGGUCCGCGGUUCGAUUCCCGGCCAAGGCG
rnacentral:tRNA from 1 species